rnacentral:rRNA from 1 species
CCUACGGGUGGCAGCAGUGGGGAAUUUUGGACAAUGGGCGCAAGCCUGAUCCAGCCAUGCCGCGUGUGUGAAGAAGGCCUUCGGGUUGUAAAGCACUUUCGGACGGAACGAAAUCGCGCGGGCGAAUAUCCCGCGUGGAUGACGGUACCGUAAGAAGAAGCACCGGCUAACUACGUGCCAGCAGCCGCGGUAAUACGUAGGGUGCGAGCGUUAAUCGGAAUUACUGGGCGUAAAGUGUGCGCAGGCGGCGCCGCAAGUCGAGUGUGAAAGCCCCGGGCUUAACUUGGGAAUUGCGCUCGAAACUAUGGUGCUGGAGUGUGGCAGAGGAGGGUGGAAUUCCACGUGUAGCGGUGAAAUGCGUAGAGAUGUGGAGGAACACCGAUGGCGAAGGCAGCCCUCUGGGCCAACACUGACGCUCAUGCACGAAAGCGUGGGGAGCA